rnacentral:rRNA from 1 species
CGGGUGAGUAAUGCCUAGGAAAUUGCCCUGAUGUGGGGGAUAACCAUUGGAAACGAUGGCUAAUACCGCAUAAUGCCUACGGGCCAAAGAGGGGGACCUUCGGGCCUCUCGCGUCAGGAUAUGCCUAGGUGGGAUUAGCUAGUUGGUGAGGUAAUGGCUCACCAAGGCGACGAUCCCUAGCUGGUCUGAGAGGAUGAUCAGCCACACUGGAACUGAGACACGGUCCAGACUCCUACGGGAGGCAGCAGUGGGGAAUAUUGCACAAUGGGCGCAAGCCUGAUGCAGCCAUGCCGCGUGUGUGAAGAAGGCCUUCGGGUUGUAAAGCACUUUCAGUCGUGAGGAAGGUGGUGUAGUUAAUAGCUGCAUUACUUGACGUUAGCGACAGAAGAAGCACCGGCUAACUCCGUGCCAGCAGCCGCGGUAAUACGGAGGGUGCGAGCGUUAAUCGGAA